CUCUCUACGACUGAUUUUAAAAGAACACAAAGGCACUAUAGAAAAAGGUAGUUACUGCGAGUUAAUAAAUAGCUCGAUCCAACUCGUCGCGCGAUCAAUUUAUCUUUUCUGGUGGAGUGUUAAAGACAACCGAGUUUUUGAAAAAAGUUGGAAAAAUAAUUAAAGUUGGUGCAUAAAGUGCUAAAUUCGAAUAAAUUUAGUGAGUUGGUUAGCAAAAACGUUGAGAAAGCCUGAAAUUUGUGAAAGUUAAGGAUUAGAAUCAGGCCUUGCCCAUCUAACGUGGGCGGUUUAUCUAGGGCUUAUCCUAGCUGGAUUUUUCCCGAGUGCAGCCGAGACCGGAACCACCUGUGGUACUGCGAGUUUCCGUUUGAUAGUCGACCACUUCGCGCUCGAGUGUGGUGAAUACGGUGAGCCGAGAAACCCGAACUCGUCGCGCCAAGACGUGUGGUACCGAGCUUCGCAGAACCUGCUCGAAUCUCCACCAAGCGUGAGGACGCCUCUACCUCAUCCCUACCCACGCACGAGUUGGUUCAUCGGACUACGUUGGAGGAAGCAAAUCGUUCGGUCGGCUGGUUCGGCUUCGAGAGACUGCUCGACUGCGAACGACGUGGAGCAGCGUAUCGACGGAAAAUUCAAGGUCAGACCUAGCUGUAAGAUACGAUUGCGCAACGUAUAAAGAAGAGUUUUUUGAAGAGAAUUGAAUGAGCUCGAAUGUGACGUCACACGGUCAGUAGCCAGUUGUAUUUGAUUCAGAAUCGUUCUAUGGAAUCGAAACUGACUGAAAUGAGAACUUGUAAAACUCAUUAAAUUUGCCUUUUUAAUAGUUUUUUUUUCGUUUUCUUGGUUUUUAAAUAAAAUUUUAAUUACUUCGAGCUUAGUAAAAACAUUCUACCAGACCGUGGCCGUUAUUUGCAGAUCAUCACCGAAUUGGAUAGAGCUCCGAAUUAACCCUUUCACUACCGCUCAGUAUUAGAGAGCUUCCAAAUAAAUUAGCAACAACAUUUUUAUUUCAUUUUUCAGAAUUUUGGAUUGAUUUGGUUUGUUUGAGUCGCGUCGUUUGGGUUCGAAUUGGUAAGAAGAGGUUCCUACUGAACUGUGAGGCCUGCCCUGAGCAGGAGUUCUCAUGCCGGGAUAUUAUCAGAGGUAACGGUCCUUCGUUUUGAAGGUGGCGCUUAAGCCGUUAUCUUGGCGAAACGGAACGGAUUGUUACAACUGUAGAGCCAAAAAUACUGCACCGAUUUCAAUGAAAAUUUUUCUGUGCAAAAAGUAUGCAUGUAGAAGUAUUGUGUCAAAAUUUCAUUCAAUUUGAUCUAACCGUUAAAAAGUUCUAGAAAUAUAUGUAGCACUAUGUCGCAAUAUACAGAUGUGGUUUUUGAUAUAGUGACAUUCAAACUGCUCUAACUUUUAAAAUGUUCAACCAAAACGGCUGAAAUUUUCACUGAAAACAGUUUGACACAACAAUUUUACACUGUCAAAGUUUCAUAAAAAUCGGGAUAGUGUUGUCAAUUCUACAGUCAAAACAGUGCAUACUGAUUAUAAAAUGUUAAAAAGUGCCCAAAAUUU